AUAUUAGAGAAUGAAACCCUAGAAUCGAAGGCAUAACCGUCUCAAGCAAAGAUAUAUAGGGCCGCACCCCAAACUCAAUUUUUGCUGAAGAGGCUUCCCACUACUCAACUCAACAAUACAAGAGCUCCUAAUAAUCAUCCCAGAUACUCAACAAGGGAAAAGAUAUCCUUACUAAUGGCGGGCCAGAGAAAUGACUAUGGCAAGAGAUCCCAUUCUCAGUCUGACUAUGGUGGUAAUGGCGGAAGUAAGAGAAGAAACCCUGGAGAUGACAAGGAGCAGCAUGGUAUUGGGGUAGAAGAUACUGUAUACCGUUACCUGUGCCCUGUGAGAAAGAUUGGAAGCAUCAUUGGUAGGGGUGGAGACAUUGCAAAACAACUAAGAUCUGAAACUAAAUCAAACAUUAGGAUUGGGGAAACUAUGCCAGGCUGUGAGGAACGUGUUGUCACCAUCUAUAGUUCAAGUGAGGAAACUAAUCCAUUUGGUGAUACCGGUGAGCUUGUUUCACCUGCACAAGAUGCUCUCUUCAGGGUGCAUGAUAGGAUUGUUGCUGGUGAGCUGCCUGCUGAUGAGGAACCUGAAGAGGCACAGCAAGUUACUGUUCGGAUGCUUGUGCCUUCUGAUCAGAUUGGUUGUGUUAUUGGGAAAGGUGGGCAAGUGAUUCAGAAUAUACGCAGUGAAACUCGUGCUCAGAUUCGCAUUCUAAAAGAUGAACAUCUGCCACCUUGUGCCCUUAGUUCUGAUGAGCUUCUGCAGAUAAUUGGGGACGCAUCAGUUGUGAGAAAGGCUCUUCAUCAACUAGCAUCUCGCCUUCAUGAGAAUCCAUCACGAUCCCAGCACCUGCUGUUGUCUUCUUCCCCCAACAUGUAUCAAUCUGGUGGUACGUUCAUGACUCCAAAUAUUGAUGCCCCACUUGUGGGUGUUGCUCCAUUGAUGGGUUCUUAUGGGGGUUACAAAGGUGAUACAGGAGAUUGGUCGCACUCUUAUUACUCUGCUCGGAGGGAUGAAUCUUCUGCAAAGGAAUUCUCUCUUCGUUUGGUUUGUCCAACUGGAAAUAUUGGAGGUGUGAUUGGCAAAGGUGGCGGUAUUAUCAAACAAAUCAGACAGGAAUCUGGGGCUUCCAUUAAAGUUGAUAGUUCAAGUGCUGAAGGAGAUGAUUGUAUUAUUUUUAUAUCAGCAAAGGAGUUCUUCGAAGAUCCAUCUCCAACCAUUGAUGCAGCACUGCGGUUGCAACCACGAUGCAGUGAGAAAGCUGAAAGGGAAUCUAGUGAUUCUGUGGUCACUACCCGUCUACUCGUUCCAAGCUCACGGAUUGGAUGCCUUAUUGGUAAAGGUGGGGCCAUCAUUUCUGAGAUGAGGAGUGUUACAAGAGCAAACAUCCGCAUUCUAUCAAAGGAAAAUCUUCCCAAGGUUGCAUCUGAAGAUGAUGAGAUGGUGCAGAUCACUGGAGAGCUAAAUGUUGCUAGCAAUGCCCUUUUACAAGUGACAUUGCGGUUAAAAGCUAAUUUAUUUGAAAGGGAGGGUGCAAUAGCUGCAAUUCCACCAACCCUUCCCUACCUUCCCAUGUCAGACAUGUCAGAUGGUUCAAAAUAUGGAAGCCGUGAUAGUCAACCGCGUGAACGUGGGUUUUCUUCUUAUUCAGGUGGAUAUGGUUCUAGUGAUUUGGCCCCAAGUGACAGAUAUGGGAGCUAUGGUGGUUCACAGAGUGGUGGUGGGAAUGGUUAUGGAGCAUAUAGUGGCUAUUCUUCCAGUCGAUCGGGUAGCACUGGGUUAGUUUUGGAGGCCAUGCAUUGAAGGCAAAAUCAUAGUUGGUGCCAGGAAUUACCUAGUAGGAGGUUACCAUGUGCAAAUCAUUUUCAAGGGUGAUUCUUUGUGCUCAAGAUCACUGUUGGAUAUCAUUGAGAGAUUAUUGACAUGGUAAAGAAUCUGAAGAUGCUAUCAAUUCAAGUGGUCUUUUGAAUCCUUGCUUCCCUUGGCAUUAGAAGCAGGUGAGUUUUUCUAUGGCUGGUUAUGUCUGAAGUUGAGUAAGGUUUCAAAACCUGAAAUGGUCAUUGACCAAGAAAUGUGGAUCUUUUUGGCAACUAAGAGAGAAGGCAACCAAAAGAAAAAAAAAGCAUGAAAAAGGAAAAAUGAGAAGAAUAUCUGGAGGUAUGUCCCAAAAGGGAACUUGUAAGGAGAAAUAAAACUCAGCACUGAUGCAAUAUACCACCUGCAAGGUAAGAUAAAAAGCAAAGGAGAAAAAGGAAGGAAAAUUUAGAGGUGUGUCCAAAAAUGAAACUUACAUAGAGAAGGAAAUUUGAUGGUUUCAGACCCAAUGAGUUAAAAACAACAAAUUGCAGAUGGUUAAUUAUUUUUUUCUUUUACCUAAUUUUCUUAAUAUUGGUACAGAAACCGGGAAGAGUGACCAUUUUUUUUUUCAUGGAACAAACCAAAACAAAGAACUAAAAUACAAACUAGCAAAAUCAGUAUAGCAUUUGAUGUUUGCUUGCAUGAAUGUGAACCUCAAAUUAAGUGUUAUAAUAAUCUCAAAACUGGGAAAAAUAAUGAGGAAAAAUGUUUUUAAAUGUGAUCUCUUCGAAUAAUGUUUAUAUAAAAGUUGUUCUGAUAUUUCUGUAUUUGUAACCUUGUAAUAGUUUGUUAUUUUUUCUUCUGAAACUUGGUUUUCUUGGCACCUGUUGGCCGUGCCAAUUCAUAGUUGAAUGGACUUUCAAAAGUGACAUUACAGUCUAGAAAAACAAGAAUCUCUGGAUCAAAUGGUUCCUUAGUAGAGUUUCCCAGAAAAGGAUGAUGUAUAUGCAAUUUUCAACUGGAAAAGAAAAAGAGAAAGGAAAUAGUAGAUUAUGGGUAGUGCAAUCCUUGGUUGUGAGGGGAGGGAAGACCUUACCUUUGAAGAGGGAUUAAAACUCCAUGGUGCAUUAUGGAGUUCAGAUUUGGCAGUUAAAGUGUAAAAUGUGUCAGCCAAAUAACUGCAUCUGCUUCGGUCGUUAUUGUUGUCACGAUCAUCCUCAUCAUCCGGCAAUGGAGCAGGACUGGUUGAAGUUCUGUAUUUUGUGUGGUUUCAACCAUCUGAUUUCUUGGUUUGUCAUUUGGCCUAGUGUUAAUUGACCUAUUGCAUGGGUUUUGAUCUGAUCCAUUGUAGAGAAGCGGCAUUCGGCUGACUGGUUUAAUCAGACACUGUUAAUGAUUCAAACAUUGAUGUAAUUGGGAUUGGGAUGAACAUGAUCGACUAUCUUAUCUGCUAAGUAUUUGUUCUUGGUGUUAUUAAUAUUGUUUUCAUUAUUAAUUUUUUUAAUCAGACAUUAUUUAUUUUCUCCUCUUUUCUUUA